rnacentral:rRNA from 1 species
UACGUAGGGUGCGAGCGUUGUCCGGAAUUAUUGGGCGUAAAGAGCUUGUAGGCGGUCUGUCGCGUCUGCUGUGAAAAUCCGGGGCUCAACCCCGGACUUGCAGUGGGUACGGGCAGACUAGAGUGGCGGUAGGGGGAGAUUGGAAUUCCUGGUGUAGCGGUGGAAUGCGCAGAUAUCAGGAGGAACACCGGUGGCGAAGGCGGCAUCCUGGACCGGUAUUGACGCUGAGACACGAAAGCGUGGGGAGCAAACAGG